rnacentral:rRNA from 1 species
GGGUUGUGAGGUUAAGCGACUAAGCGUACACGGUGGAUGCCCUGGCAGUCAGAGGCGAUGAAGGACGUGCUAAUCUGCGAUAAGCGUCGGUAAGGUGAUAUGAACCGUUAUAACCGGCGAUUUCCGAAUGGGGAAACCCAGUGUGAUUCGUCACACUAUCAUUAACUGAAUCCAUAGGUUAAUGAGGCGAACCGGGGGAACUGAAACAUCUAAGUACCCCGAGGAAAAGAAAUCAACCGAGAUUCCCCCAGUAGCGGCGAGCGAACGGGGAGCAGCCCAGAGCCUGAAUCAGUGUGUGUGUUAGUGGAAGCGUCUGGAAAGGCGCGCGAUACAGGGUGACAGCCCCGUACACAAAAAUGCACAUACUGUGAGCUCGAUGAGUAGGGCGGGACACGUGGUAUCCUGUCUGAAUAUGGGGGGACCAUCCUCCAAGGCUAAAUACUCCUGACUGACCGAUAGUGAACCAGUACCGUGAGGGAAAGGCGAAAAGAACCCCGGCGAGGGGAGUGAAAAAGAACCUGAAACCGUGUACGUACAAGCAGUGGGAGCACAGAGCAAUCUGUGUGACUGCGUACCUUUUGUAUAAUGGGUCAGCGACUUAUAUUCUGUAGCAAGGUUAACCGAAUAGGGGAGCCGAAGGGAAACCGAGUCUUAACUGGGCGUUAAGUUGCAGGGUAUAGACCCGAAACCCGGUGAUCUAGCCAUGGGCAGGUUGAAGGUUGGGUAACACUAACUGGAGGACCGAACCGACUAAUGUUGAAAAAUUAGCGGAUGACUUGUGGCUGGGGGUGAAAGGCCAAUCAAACCGGGAGAUAGCUGGUUCUCCCCGAAAGCUAUUUAGGUAGCGCCUCGUGAAUUCAUCUCCGGGGGUAGAGCACUGUUUCGGCAAGGGGGUCAUCCCGACUUACCAACCCGAUGCAAACUGCGAAUACCGGAGAAUGUUAUCACGGGAGACACACGGCGGGUGCUAACGUCCGUCGUGAAGAGGGAAACAACCCAGACCGCCAGCUAAGGUCCCAAAGUCAUGGUUAAGUGGGAAACGAUGUGGGAAGGCCCAGACAGCCAGGAUGUUGGCUUAGAAGCAGCCAUCAUUUAAAGAAAGCGUAAUAGCUCACUGGUCGAGUCGGCCUGCGCGGAAGAUGUAACGGGGCUAAACCAUGCACCGAAGCUGCGGCAGCGACGCUUAUGCGUUGUUGGGUAGGGGAGCGUUCUGUAAGCCUGUGAAGGUGUACUGUGAGGUAUGCUGGAGGUAUCAGAAGUGCGAAUGCUGACAUAAGUAACGAUAAAGCGGGUGAAAAGCCCGCUCGCCGGAAGACCAAGGGUUCCUGUCCAACGUUAAUCGGGGCAGGGUGAGUCGACCCCUAAGGCGAGGCCGAAAGGCGUAGUCGAUGGGAAACAGGUUAAUAUUCCUGUACUUGGUGUUACUGCGAAGGGGGGACGGAGAAGGCUAUGUUGGCCGGGCGACGGUUGUCCCGGUUUAAGCGUGUAGGCUGGUUUUCCAGGCAAAUCCGGAAAAUCAAGGCUGAGGCGUGAUGACGAGGCACUACGGUGCUGAAGCAACAAAUGCCCUGCUUCCAGGAAAAGCCUCUAAGCAUCAGGUAACAUCAAAUCGUACCCCAAACCGACACAGGUGGUCAGGUAGAGAAUACCAAGGCGCUUGAGAGAACUCGGGUGAAGGAACUAGGCAAAAUGGUGCCGUAACUUCGGGAGAAGGCACGCUGAUAUGUAGGUGAAGUCCCUCGCGGAUGGAGCUGAAAUCAGUCGAAGAUACCAGCUGGCUGCAACUGUUUAUUAAAAACACAGCACUGUGCAAACACGAAAGUGGACGUAUACGGUGUGACGCCUGCCCGGUGCCGGAAGGUUAAUUGAUGGGGUCAGCGCAAGCGAAGCUCUUGAUCGAAGCCCCGGUAAACGGCGGCCGUAACUAUAACGGUCCUAAGGUAGCGAAAUUCCUUGUCGGGUAAGUUCCGACCUGCACGAAUGGCGUAAUGAUGGCCAGGCUGUCUCCACCCGAGACUCAGUGAAAUUGAACUCGCUGUGAAGAUGCAGUGUACCCGCGGCAAGACGGAAAGACCCCGUGAACCUUUACUAUAGCUUGACACUGAACAUUGAGCCUUGAUGUGUAGGAUAGGUGGGAGGCUUUGAAGUGUGGACGCCAGUCUGCAUGGAGCCGACCUUGAAAUACCACCCUUUAAUGUUUGAUGUUCUAACGUGGACCCGUGAUCCGGGUUGCGGACAGUGUCUGGUGGGUAGUUUGACUGGGGCGGUCUCCUCCUAAAGAGUAACGGAGGAGCACGAAGGUUGGCUAAUCCUGGUCGGACAUCAGGAGGUUAGUGCAAUGGCAUAAGCCAGCUUGACUGCGAGCGUGACGGCGCGAGCAGGUGCGAAAGCAGGUCAUAGUGAUCCGGUGGUUCUGAAUGGAAGGGCCAUCGCUCAACGGAUAAAAGGUACUCCGGGGAUAACAGGCUGAUACCGCCCAAGAGUUCAUAUCGACGGCGGUGUUUGGCACCUCGAUGUCGGCUCAUCACAUCCUGGGGCUGAAGUAGGUCCCAAGGGUAUGGCUGUUCGCCAUUUAAAGUGGUACGCGAGCUGGGUUUAGAACGUCGUGAGACAGUUCGGUCCCUAUCUGCCGUGGGCGCUGGAGAAUUGAGGGGGGCUGCUCCUAGUACGAGAGGACCGGAGUGGACGCAUCACUGGUGUUCGGGUUGUCAUGCCAAUGGCACUGCCCGGUAGCUAAAUGCGGAAGAGAUAAGUGCUGAAAGCAUCUAAGCACGAAACUUGCCCCGAGAUGAGUUCUCCCUGACUCCUUGAGAGUCCUGAAGGAACGUUGAAGACGACGACGUUGAUAGGCCGGGUGUGUAAGCGCAGCGAUGCGUUGAGCUAACCGGUACUAAUGAACCGUGAGGCUUAACCUUACAACGCCGAAGCUGUU